rnacentral:rRNA from 1 species
GACGAACGCUGGCGGCGUGCCUAAUACAUGCAAGUUGAGCGCUGAAGGUUGGUACUUGUACCAACUGGAUGAGCAGCGAACGGGUGAGUAACGCGUGGGGAAUCUGCCUUUGAGCGGGGGACAACAUUUGGAAACGAAUGCUAAUACCGCAUAAAAACUUUAAACACAAGUUUUAAGUUUGAAAGAUGCAAUUGCAUCACUCAAAGAUGAUCCCGCGUUGUAUUAGCUAGUUGGUGAGGUAAAGGCUCACCAAGGCGAUGAUACAUAGCCGACCUGAGAGGGUGAUCGGCCACAUUGGGACUGAGACACGGCCCAAACUCCUACGGGAGGCAGCAGUAGGGAAUCUUCGGCAAUGGACGAAAGUCUGACCGAGCAACGCCGCGUGAGUGACGAAGGUUUUCGGAUCGGAAAACUCGGUUGGUAGAGAAGAACGUUGGUGAGAGUGGAAAGCUCAUCAAGUGACGGUAACUACCCAGAAAGGGACGGCUAACUACGUG